UUAUGGUCAUAUCAUGUUGAAACACCAGUUUUCAUACGAUCACCAAAGUUAAGCAAUGUUGAAACUGGUCAGUACCUAGAUGGGUGACCACUUGGGAAUACCAGUUGCUGUAAGC